rnacentral:rRNA from 1 species
AACGUAGGAGACAAACGUUAUCCGGAGUUACUGGGCGUAAAGGGUGCGUAGGCGGGUCUUUUAAGUCAGAGGUGAAAUCCUGGAGCUCAACUCCAGAACUGCCUUUGAUACUGAGGAUCUUGAGUUCGGGAGAGGUGAGUGGAACUGCGAGUGUAGAGGUGAAAUUCGUAGAUAUUCGCAAGAACACCAGUGGCGAAGGCGGCUCACUGGCCCGAUACUGACGCUGAGGCACGAAAGCGUGGGGAGCAAACAGGG